CAGUCGCCGCGGGAAAACGAAGGGGGCUAGCGUUGUUCGGAUUUACUGGGCGUAAAGCGCACGUAGGCGGAUCGAUCAGUCAGGGGUGAGAUCCUGGAGCUCAACUCCAGAACUGCCUUUGAUACUGUCGAUCUCGAGUCCGGAAGAGGUGAGUGGAACUCCUAGUGUAGAGGUGGAAUUCGUAGAUAUUAGGAAGAACACCAGUGGCGAAGGCGGCUCACUGGUCCGGUACUGACGCUGAGGUGCGAAAGCGUGGGGAGCAAACAGGAUUAGAUACCCGUGUAGUCCCUGUCUCUUAUAC
rnacentral:rRNA from 1 species